rnacentral:misc_RNA from 1 species
GAUGAAGAACGUAGCGAAAUGCGAUAAGUAAUGUGAAUUGCAGAAUUCAGUGAAUCAUCGAAUCUUUGAACGCACAUUGCGCCCGCCAGUAUUCUGGCGGGCAUGCCUGUCCGAGCGUCAUUUCAACCCUCGAACCCCUCCGGGGGGUCGGCGUUGGGGAUCGGCCCUGCCUCUUGGCGGUGGCCGUCUCCGAAAUACAGUGGCGGUCUCGCCGCAGCCUCUCCUGCGCAGUAGUUUGCACACUCGCAUCGGGAGCGCGGCGCGUCCACAGCAGUUAAACACCCAACUUCUGAAAUGUUGACCUCGGAUCAGGUAGGAAUACCCGCUGAACUUAAGCAUAUCAAUAAGCGGAGUA